rnacentral:rRNA from 1 species
CUGUUUCGGCUAGGGGGUCAUCCCGACUUACCAAACCGAUGCAAACUCCGAAUACCUAUGAGUACUAUCCGGGAGACAGACUGCGGGUGCUAACGUCCGUAGUCAAGAGGAAAACAAUCCAGACCGCCAGCUAAGGCCCCAAAAUCAUAGUUAAGUGGGAAACGAUGUGGGAAGGCAUAGACAGCUAGGAGGUUGGCUUAGAAGCAGCCACCCUUUAAAGAAAGCGUAAUAGCUCACUAGUCGAGUCGGCCUGCGCGGAAGAUGUAACGGGGCUAAAACUAUGUGCCGAAGCUGCGGAUUUGACAUUAGUCAAGUGGUAGGGGAGCGUUCUGUAAGCCGAUGAAGGUGURUUGAGAAGYAUGCUGGAGGUAUCAGAAGUGCGAAUGCUGACGUGAGUAACGACAAAACGGGUGAAAAACCCGUUCGCCGAAAGACCAAGGGUUCCAGUCCAACGUUAAUCGGGGCUGGGUGAGUCGACCCCUAAGGCGAGGCCGAAAGGCGUAGUCGAUGGGAAAAUGGUUAAUAUUCCAUUACUUCUGUGUAAUGCGAUGAGAGGACGGAGAAGGCUAAAUCAGCCUGGCGUUGGUUGUCCAGGUGAAAGGAUGUAGGCAUGUAUCUUAGGCAAAUCCGGGGUACUCUAUGCUGAGAUCUGAUAGCAAGCUGUACUUGUACAGCGAAGUGGUUGAUGCCAUGCUUCCAGGAAAAGUCUCUAAGCUUCAGUUACACAGGAAUCGUACCCGAAACCGACACAGGUGGUCAGGUCGAGUAGACCAAGGCGCUUGAGAGAACUCUGCUGAAGGAACUAGGCAAAAUGGUACCGUAACUUCGGGAGAAGGUACGCUGUUGUUGGUGAUGGAACUCGCUUCCUGAGCUGACGACAGCCGCAGAAACCAGGCCGCUGCAACUGUUUAUUAAAAACAUAGCACUCUGCAAACACGAAAGUGGACGUAUAGGGUGUGAUGCCUGCCCGGUGCUGGAAGGUUAAUUGAUGGGGUUAGCGUAAGCGAAGCUCUUGAUCGAAGCCCCAGUAAACGGCGGCCGUAACUAUAACGGUCCUAAGGUAGCGAAAUUCCUUGUCGGGUAAGUUCCGACCUGCACGAAUGGCAUAAUGAUGGCGGCGCUGUCUCCAGCAGAGGCUCAGUGAAAUCGAAAUCGCUGUGAAGAUGCAGUGUACCCGCGGCUAGACGGAAAGACCCCGUGAACCUUUACUGCAGCUUGACACUGAACUUUGACCUUACUUGUGUAGGAUAGGUGGGAGGCUUUGAAGCUGGAACGCUAGUUCCAGUGGAGCCGUCCUUGAAAUACCACCCUGGUAAUGUUGAGGUUCUAACUCUGUCCCGUGAUCCGGGACGAGGACCGUGUCUGGUGGGUAGUUUGACUGGGGCGGUCUCCUCCUAAAGAGUAACGGAGGAGUACGAAGGUGCGCUCAGCGUGGUCGGAAAUCACGCGUAGAGUAUAAAGGCAAAAGCGCGCUUAACUGCGAGACCCACAAGUCGAGCAGGUACGAAAGUAGGUCUUAGUGAUCCGGUGGUUCUGUAUGGAAGGGCCAUCGCUCAACGGAUAAAAGGUACUCUGGGGAUAACAGGCUGAUACCGCCCAAGAGUUCAUAUCGACGGCGGUGUUUGGCACCUCGAUGUCGGCUCAUCUCAUCCUGGGGCUGAAGCAGGUCCCAAGGGUAUGGCUGUUCGCCAUUUAAAGAGGUACGCGAGCUGGGUUUAGAACGUCGUGAGACAGUUCGGUCCCUAUCUACCGUGGGCGCUGGAAAUUUGAGAGGAUCUGCUCCUAGUACGAGAGGACCAGAGUGGACGAACCUCUGGUGUACCGGUUGUGACGCCAGUCGCAUCGCCGGGUAGCUAUGUUCGGAAGGGAUAACCGCUGAAAGCAUCUAAGCGGGAAGCCUACCUCAAGAUAAGAUUUCCCUAGGACUUUAUGUCCUCUAAAGAGCCGUUCGAGACUAGGACGUUGAUAGGUUGGAUGUGGAAGCAUAGUGAUAUGUGAAGCUGACCAAUACUAAUUGCUCGUGAGGCUUGACUAU